GGUUUUCAUGAUUUGACAAGAUGUUUUCUUGCUGUUUAAUUUUAGACUCAACUGAUUGGAAAAUCUCUGCCCAUCACCUGCCCCCAACAUACAAAGCCACAAGACGGGAACACCGAUCCUUCCGGAAUCCGACGGCUGACAAUUUAGUGAGAUUUCUUAAGGUACCCAGUCCUACAGGAUUUUUCGAGAAAGUUGGAUCUACACAGCUUUUGCUGCUCUGUGAAACAACUAUGCACUGAACUUUACUGUUAGUGACUGGAGACACACAACUGAUCCACUCAUAUCCUGCUACUGUUCUUCAUCUGCUGAAUGUUUUUGACUCAAGCACUGCUGUACUGUUGCAAAGUCAAAGGUACUGAAUCAACUUCACUGACACAGGACUCACAUUCACUGAUAUGUUCAGGACACCAUUUGAUCACAAUAUAUAAUUCUGAUUACAGUGCAUUCAUCGUUUAUUUUAAAAGUUAACCUAUGAUGUAAACGUGUUUGUUCGGUAAUAAAAAAAAUAGUUUGCUUGAAACAACUGUUUACAUUUGCCUUUAUUUUCAACUUUACAAUGAACUGAAUUCUACUAUGAUCCCAUACUUUCUGGAUUGUUUUGAAAUAAAGUUUUGAAA